AAGAAGCUUAUCAGAAACUUUAACAAUUGCUUACGAUUGUUAGAAACGCUCAGAAUCCAGCCUAAAGAGUUUGGAAUUUUAGGCACGAUUAUGUUCAUGAAAUCCAGAGUCGCACUCGUGGACAGUGUGACUGCUCUUGCUGCACACAUGAGCCAACUGUUGGACGAAUUGCCAGCUACAAUUUACGAUAUGAACCUUAAAGCUUGCAAGGAUCAAACAUUGCAGUGGAUUACUUCAAAUUUGGAAGUUAAAAAAUUGAAUAAGUUUAGUUUGUGUAUUCUUUUGAGUAAAUUAAAUAUUGAAAUCCUCGGCAAUGAAGUGAGAGCAACGCAACCGCCUUCGUUGGAACAAAUUAAGGAUGAGUUAGAGCUACGCAUACAACAGUUGGUGUUGAUGGC